UACGUAGGGGGCGAGCGUUGUCCGGAAUCAUUGGGCGUAAAGAGCUCGUAGGCGGCGCGGUAAGUCGGGUGUGAAAUCUCGGGGCUUAACUCCGAAACUGCAUUCGAUACUGCCGUGCUUGAGGACUGGAGAGGAGACUGGAAUUUACGGUGUAGCGGUGAAAUGCGUAGAUAUCGUAAGGAAGACCAGUGGCGAAGGCGGGUCUCUGGACAGUUCCUGACGCUGAGGCACGAAGGUCAGGGGAGCAAACGGG
rnacentral:rRNA from 1 species